GCGAGUCGUGGGCUCGUGGGUCGUGGCAGACCCUCGGUAGGAUGGCGGCGACCACAUCCGCUCCGCUGUCCCCUUCCUGCGUAGCUGCUCAACGCCCUACUUCUCGACGUCCCAAUCCGGCUGCCCGACUUCCCAACUGCUUCUUCUCACCACGCUUCACCACCUCAAGGAGUCAAGGUAUAGGCUCUCUCUGUUUUUAGUUUAUACUCAUCGAUGCAUAGCCUAGUAGACAAAAUUGAGGGAAGCCAAGAUCCUAGAUCAGUACGUCAGUACAUAGUCUCUGCUUUUUAUUUGUACACAGCUCACUGCUCACCGUGGUUCUCGGCUAGAACAAGCAGCAGAUGCAUCACUGAACAAAUUUUAGUUUAUACUGGUAAAUUCGUCCGGUAGAUAGUACUCAGUACAUACUCUGUACAUUUUAUCUGUACUGUUAAAUGUUGUUUAUGAAUUCAGUUUGUACUGAUAAACUUGCAGUCUUUGCCUUCUGUUUGUACUGUUAAAUUUUGUUUUAUAUAUUCAGUUUUUAGUGAUAAACUUGCACAAUACAGUCUUUUUCUUUUGUUAUACUGAUAAAUGUUCUUCUAUAUAUUCAGUUUUUACUGAUGUACAGUCUUUUCCUUUGUUUAUACUGAUAAAUGUUGUUUACUUAUUUUUUCUACAAAUAGCUUAUGUUUAUUUCUUUCUUUUUGCAGUAGUAGGCUACUAGCACAAUGUCAUCAGUAGGAUCAGGGGCUUCUUCUGCUGCCGCAACCGGAAGAACACGAAAAGAUCCAGCCUGGGAGCAUGCUUUACCAAUUAUUGAUGAAUUCAGAACCAAGAACAGAGUUGGAUGCAGAUACUGCUUGCACUUUUU
rnacentral:lncRNA from 1 species